rnacentral:misc_RNA from 1 species
AUUGUUGCUUUCUAUUACGCUCUGGUCCAGCAGCGACUCGUCGUAUAAAUAUUUGAGCACUUCAGGUAGCAAAAUAUGCUUCAGAUGCUGGAAGUGGCAACACUGUUUUCAAUGAUGUUGAUAGAUGUCUGAGGUCUGUGCCAUAAUCUCUGUCACUUUAAAAGCCAAAAAGCAUUGUAGACCGUGGAUGCUUACUGCCUGGGAUAAACUGGAUAAGUGCGGCCAGGAUUUGCACCAUUAUCAUGUUUGGAAAACCUAUCCAGGGACAACAUGUUUAAAAACUGUGUUUAAUUUUUAAUAAAAAUUAUUGAAAUGGCAUGUGUGGCGAUCAUGUGGCUAGCUUGUAUAAAUAAUUCAAGUUUGCAAGUGAGCAUCGAUUAAACCAUUACAGUUGUAGCAUUUUCAUUUUUAUAGAGCCUUGGAAGAACUUGAUUCCUUGCUUCUGCAUGUAUCAAGAAAUGAUCCAGAAAGCUUCAGUCAUAUCAGUGAAGGCAAAAAUAGCGGCCUCCAGACUGUCCC